AGCUACUGGUAAAUUUCUAAAUAAAAUUAGAUCCUAAAAAAAUUAUAUUAAUUGAAUAUUUAUUUACGGUGUGUGUAUAUAAUGAAUGCAGUGUGUGUGUGUGUGUGAGUGCAGUGUGUGUGUGAGUGCAGUGUGUGUUUGAGUGCAGUGUGUGAGUGCAGUGUGUGUGUGCAGUGUGUGUGUGUAUGAGUGCAGUGUGUGAGUGCAGUGUGUGUGUGUGUGAGUGCAGUGUGUGAGUGCAGUGUGUGUGUAUGAGUGCAGUGUGUGUGUGUAUGAGUGCAGUGUGUGUGUG